AGUUCCUUCUGCGCUUUGUUCAAGAUGUGGGUCUGGCGCUUUCGUGACUCAAGACCCUCUUAGGAACUUCUUCACUGAACUCAAGGAGGAGAUCAGGCAAGAUCUGUGCUGUGCAGAUCCUUUGGAUUGAGGCUGCUGUGCACAGGAAUAUGGAUGAUACUCUCCAAGCUGUAAGGAAGAAGUCAAGGAUUAAGGAGACCUGGACUGGAGAGGAGCCUUUUUCAAAAAACAACAAUGACAAGAGAAAAUGUAGCCCACAAUGCUCUGAGACAAGAGGGCCUUGUGAAGGGGAAGGAUGAUACCUGGAAAUGGGGAACCAGCUUCCAAGGAAGUAGCUCCUCUGUUUGGGAGACCUCCCACCUACACUUUAGACAAUUACGUUACCAUGAGACAUCUGGACCCCAGGAAGCCCUGAGCCGGCUCAGGGAACUCUGUCGCCGGUGGCUGAGACCAGAAGCACGCACCAAGGCACAGAUCCUGGAGCUGCUGGUGCUGGAGCAGUUUCUGAGCAUCCUGCCUGGGGAGAUUCGGACCUGGGUACAGCUCCAUCACCCUGGAAGUGGCGAGGAGGCUGUGGCCCUGGUAGAGGAGCUGCAGAAAGACCUUGAUGGACCAGCAAUACAAGUCUGGCUUCUGUUCCCACCGUUGUGUACAGUCUCCUCUGGGAGAGGUCACCAGUGCCAUGAGUGGGGCUCGAGGGCAGCUCCAUUGUUCUCAAUGCAAAGCUUUACUGCUGUUUUGAUGCUCCAUACUUGAGGUUCCAGUCCUUGUCAAGGAUCAGGACACUCUCCAGAAGGUGGUGAGUGCCCCAGGAACAACACUUCCUCCUGUACUUCCUGGCAGCCACAUAGCAGCUGAAAUUUGCCCGCAUCCUCCUACUGACCUAGUGGCAUUCAACCUCCAGGAUCCUCAGCAUGAUUCUCCUGCCCCUGAAGCUUCUGCCCUUUCCCAGGAAGAGAACCCAAGAAAUCAAUUAAUGGCACUUAUGCUCCUAACAGCCCAGCCCCAGGAGUUGGUGAUGUUCGAGGAGGUGUCAGUAUGCUUCACUUCAGAGGAAUGGGCAUGUCUGGGCCCAAUCCAGAGGGCCUUGUACUGGGAUGUGAUGCUGGAGAAUUAUGGAAAUGUGACCUCCCUAGAAUGGGAGACCAUGACCGAGAAUGAGGAGGUGACAUCAAAGCCAAGUAGUUCUCAAAGAGCAGACUCUCAUAAAGGAACAUCAAAAAGACUUCAAGGAAGUGUUCCCCAGGUCCUUGAUUUUGAAGAAGAGUGUGAAUGGCAAGUUUUGGCAAGUCAGUGGGGAAAUGAAACAGAUGAAAGGGCAGAUACAGUGAAGAAAGUUUCCCUUUGUGAACGAGACAAGAAGAAAAGGACUCCACCAGAGAAACAAGGCCAAAAGUGGAAGGAAUUAGGAGACAGCUUGACUUUCGGUUCAGCUAUUUCUGAAAGUUUAAUAGGUACUGAAGGAAAGAAGUUUUAUAAAUGUGAUAUGUGUUGUAAACAUUUUAAUAAAAUCUCCCAUCUUAUAAACCAUCGGAGAAUCCACACUGGUGAGAAACCUCAUAAAUGUAAGGAAUGUGGAAAAGGCUUUAUUCAGCGUUCGAGCCUUCUAAUGCAUUUACGGAACCAUUCAGGGGAGAAACCUUAUAAAUGUAAUGAAUGUGGGAAAGCAUUUUCUCAAAGUGCUUACCUUCUAAACCAUCAGAGGAUCCACACUGGGGAGAAACCUUAUAAGUGUAAGGAGUGUGGAAAGGGCUUCUAUAGGCACUCAGGCCUAAUUAUACAUCUAAGGCGCCAUUCAGGGGAGAGACCUUAUAAGUGUAAUGAAUGUGGGAAAGUCUUCUCUCAGAAUGCUUACCUCAUUGACCAUCAGAGGCUCCACAAAGGGGAAGAACCUUAUAAAUGUAAUAAGUGUCAGAAAGCUUUCAUUCUGAAGAAGAGCCUCAUUCUGCACCAGAGAAUCCACUCUGGGGAAAAACCCUAUAAAUGUGAUGAAUGUGGAAAGACCUUUGCUCAGACCACUUAUCUUAUUGACCAUCAGCGACUCCACAGUGCAGAGAACCCUUACAAGUGUAAAGAAUGUGGAAAAGUUUUCAUUCGAAGCAAAAGCCUCCUCUUACAUCAGAGAGUCCACACAGAAAAGAAAACCUUUGGUUGUAAAAAGUGUGGGAAGAUUUUCAGUUCUAAGUCAAACUUCAUUGACCAUAAGAGGAUGCACAGCAGAGAGAAACCUUACAAAUGCACUGAAUGUGGGAAAGCCUUUACUCAAAGUGCUUACCUUUUUGACCACCAGAGACUCCACAAUGGGGAGAAGCCCUAUGAAUGUAAUGAAUGUGGGAAAGUUUUUAUUCUGAAGAAGAGCCUCAUUUUACAUCAAAGGUUCCACACUGGAGAGAAUCUCUAUGAAUGUAAAGAUUGUGGUAAGGUCUUCGGUUCAAACAGAAACCUCAUUGACCAUGAGAGACUCCACAAUGGGGAGAAGCCAUAUGAAUGUCGAGAGUGUGGGAAAACCUUUAUUAUGAGCAAAAGUUUUAUGGUCCAUCAGAAACUCCAUACACAAGAGAAAGCCUACAAAUGUGAGGAUUGUGGGAAGGCUUUCAGUUACAAUUCAAGCCUGCUUGUACAUCGGAGAAUCCACACCGGAGAAAAACCCUUUGAAUGCAGUGAGUGUGGAAGAGCUUUCAGUUCAAACAGAAACCUCAUUGAGCAUAAGAGAAUCCACAGUGGUGAGAAACCCUAUGAGUGUGAUGAGUGUGGCAAAUGCUUCAUUCUGAAGAAAAGCCUCAUUGGACAUCAGAGAAUUCACACGAGGGAAAAAUCUUAUAAAUGCAAUGACUGUGGGAAGGUCUUCAGUUACCGCUCAAACCUUAUAGCCCAUCAGAGGAUCCAUACUGGUGAGAAGCCCUAUGCGUGUAGUGAGUGUGGAAAAGGUUUUACGUACAACAGAAACCUGAUUGAACAUCAAAGAAUUCACAGUGGAGAAAAAACCUACGAAUGUCAUGUAUGUAGGAAAGUCCUUACCUCUAGUAGAAAUCUUAUGGUACAUCAAAGAAUCCAUACUGGAGAGAAACCUUAUAAAUGUAAUGAGUGUGGAAAAGACUUUAGUCAGAAUAAAAACCUUGUUGUACAUCAGAGAAUGCACACUGGGGAAAAACCUUAUGAGUGUGACAAGUGUAGGAAAUCCUUUACUUCUAAGAGGAAUUUAGUUGGCCACCAGAGAAUUCACACAGGGGAGAAACCCUAUGGGUGUAAUGAUUGUAGUAAAGUUUUUAGGCAAAGAAAAAACCUUACUGUACAUCAGAAAAUCCACACAGAUGAAAAACCUUGUGAAUGUGAUGUGUCUGAAAAAGAAUUCUCUCAGACUUCCAACCUUCAUCUUCAACAGAAAAUCCAUACCAUUGAGGAAUUCUCUUGGCUACAAAACACCAAUGAGUCCAAGAUUGAGAUUCAGAAAAUCUAGUGUCAUAUGUAAAAUGGAAUAGAAUCCCUGCCUACUUAAGUAACUGUUGGACAAAUGAUAUAUAUUUCUUCUAAGGAAAAAGUUUAUUAUUUACUCUUUACUAGACAAAUGAGUAGCAUAUAGAAGAAAGUUAAUAGGCCGGGCUUGGUGGCUCAUGCCUGUAAUCCCAGCACUUUGAGAGGCCGAAGCGAGUGGAUCACCUGAGGUCAGGAUUUUGAGACCAGCCUGACCAACAUGGUGAAACCCCAUCUCUACUAAAAUACAAAAAUUAUCCGGGCAUGGGGGCACACACCGGUAAUCCCAGCUACUCAGGAGGCUGAGACAGGAGAGUCGCUUGAACCUGGGAGGGCGGAGGUUGCAGUGAGCCAGGAUCGCGCCAUUGCACUCCAGCCUGGGCAACAAGAGCGAAACUCUUGUCUGAAAAAAUAAAGUUCAUCCCAACUUUCAAGUCUACAAAAACAUAAUCCAAAUCUAAUAACAUAGUUGUAAAUGAGAGCAACAAUAAAAAGUAGACAUGGGCUGGGUGCAGUGGCUCACUCCUGUAGUCCCAGGACUUUGGGAGGCCGAGGUGGGAAGAUCCCUUGAGCCCAGGAGUUCGAGACAAGCCUGGGUAACACGGGGAGACCCGUCUUUAGUAAAUAAAAAUAAAUUUAUUAAUAAAACUAAAAAUUUAAUAAUAAAAAGUGGACAUUGUUUUUUAAAAUGUGUAUAGUAUGCAUUUUAAAGAUAGUGUCACUGCUGUGGAAAACCUGAACAGACAGUAUGAUCCAGAAUGUCAGGUGUGGAGUUGGGCGGACAAGAGUCUGCUGAUGAGGACAACCUAAAAGAGCACUGGAUUUGGAAUCAGAAGACCUACCUUUGAUUCCUGGCUUUCCCUUAAUGGCCAUGUGAUGUUAUUAAGUCAGCCUCUAAAGCUUUAGUUUCCUGUCAGUCAAAUGUUGACAUGAUACCUACCUCACAGGGUUGUUGUGAGGGUUAAGUGAAAGGAUCUUUGUGAAAGUACUUUUUGAAAUCAUUCAGUUGUCAAUAAAGUUGGAUAAAAGAGGUUAUGGUAAAAGUUUAGAACAUGGGAUCAUGUAAGUUUGUGUAUUAAGUCAAUAUUAGAAUGAGGGGGAUUCCAGGAACCUAAAAGAUACUCAUUUUCAUAAGAGGAAGUAUGGUGAAUAGCUAACUGGAAUUUAGUGUUCUAAGAAUAAUUUUGUUAAAUUUACCUUUAAAAAUAUCUGAGGGAGUUACUAGAUUAUAUAUCUAGUUUAUGUAUAUGGAAAAAAAUGUUAUGGCCAGCCAUUAACAGUGAUGCCAAGGAAAACAAUUUAUUUCCCAGCUUUUGAAUUUGAAACUUAACAGAUGGAGAGUGUCAAAAUGGAAGGGCAGUGGUACCCUGCUUUCCCUAUUCAGAGGGAAAAAAAUCCUUGACCCGCAGUUGAGCUGAUGAUCCCUGCCACAGUCAUUGUGAAUUCUAAUCAAUAUUUCAUCAUUGCUGUCAAAUGAUAGCCUGUUACUAAUGAAACAACAUUCUGUCCCAGCACUAAAUUUACUGGGACAUAAAUUUUUCACAUGGAGCCAAGCUCUUCACUGAUUAAGCCAGUGCAGAAUCCACUUGUGGGCAGUCAGUGCCCAUUACCCCCUGUGAACCAUUCUGUGCCCUUGAGUACAUUUGUGGGUUUAACUCAGUCUAUAUUCUUAAGUUGGUAAUUUUUAUGUUGUAAUUCUCAAAGUUCUGUUUCUGUAGCUGGACUAUGAAUAAUACCUGAAUAUGAAGAUUGUGUUUUUUAAUAAUGUCAAAGUGGUGUGUUGAUUAUCAUAAAUGUUAUUAAUUCAACCCCACAGUUUCUUGGGGGCUGGUUCCUCAUUAGAGUGAAAGGUAGCCAAGAGUGAAAACUGGAAGGGGCCUAAGGCUUAAAGUCUUAAGACCUGGAUGUGGUUCAGGUUUUGCCAUCUGCCUCAGAAAAAAUCUCUUCAGUUCUUGGAGCCUUGAAUUCCUCAUCUGUUAAACAGGAGGAAGAAUAUCUACCUCACAAAGUUCUUAUGAGAUAAUGAAUAUAAAAAUGUUUCAUCCAGGUUGUUGAAUCAUCCCAGCUUAUAUAAUAAUUACAAAGGACAUAUGUACUUUAACAAUGGAGAAUGCUGUGAUUUACCUCUUCACCGAGUAACAAAAUGUCACAUUGCUUAGAUUGAGACAGCCCACAUAAUGUGCCACCUUCUGUGAUGUAAUAAGCUGAAAAAUGUUCAACCUGAAUUUAAUCAAGCUUCUUGGACCUCAUUGCCAGGUUACAGGAAAUACAGGAGGCAGAGGAACAAAUAAAAGACACCACGAGAAACAGACACAUCCAGAACGUGGAAUAUUGCAUAAGAAAGCUGCCCUGGAUUCUUCAAAAUAUUAUUAUGAUGAAAAAGAGAGGGGAGUGAAAAUUGUUCAAGCUGUCUUGAGUCUGCUGUGAGUUUAUUAUACCAUUCUCUGCUUUUGUGUAUGUAUGAAAAUUUCGAUAUGAAAGGUAUAAAACAUGGAUGAGGAGGCUUGUUUUUAAAAGAUAAUACUAGAGAGCCGUUAGGUACUAAGAACCAGAAAUAGACUCACAUAAAUGGCCAAUUGAUUUUUGACAGGGGCAAAAGCAAUUCAAUGGAGGAGGGAUCGCCUUUUCAGCAAAUACUGUUGGAGUAAUUGGAUAUCCAUAGGCAGUAAACCAACAACUUCAGGACCUAGGACUGAGCUAAGAAGGCUCAGAUGACUCAAAAGCAUGCUCCUUAGAAGGAAAAAAAAUGUUAAAUUGGACUUCAUCAAAAUUAAGAUAAUUUACCCUGUAAGAGACCUUUUUACAAAGAUGAUAUUACAGGUUGGGAAAAAAUAUUUGCAAAUCAUAUCCAACAAGGGAUUUGUAUGUAAACUACAUAAAGAACUUUCCAAAUUUAACAGUAAUAAGUAAAUACAAUUAGAAAAUAAGCAAAAGACAGACAUUUCACUGAAGUAUAGAUAGCAAAUAAGCAAAUGAAAAGAUGUUCAACAUCAUUAGGCAUGAGGGAAAUGCAGAGUAAAAUCGUGAGAUAUCACCUAUCAGAAUAGCUUAACUUUUUUUUUUUAAUGGUGGUAACUGCUGGCAAGGAUGAAGAGAAACAGGAUCUCAUACAUUGCUGGGAAUGUAAAAUGGUACAGCCACUCUGGAAUAUAAUUUGGCAGUUUCUUGUAAAACCACACAUGUAUAUGUCAUGCUUCAGGAAUUGCACUUCUGAGCAUUUAUCCCAGAGAAAUGAAAACUUGCGUUCACACAAAAACCUGUAUACGAAUGUUCAUAGCAGCUUUAUUUGUAAUGGUCGAAACCUGUAGGCAACCCAUAUAUCCUUCCUUAGGUGGUUAAAACAAAUUGUGGUUUAUGUAUUACCAUGGAAUACUUGUUACUCUGCAAUAAAAUUGACUUAUUGAUAUCCAUAACAACUCAAAUAAAUUUCAAGGGAAUUAAUGCUGAGUGAAAAUAAUCACAAAAGGCCAUAUUCUGUAUGAAAAUAUUCAUAUAACAUUCUCAAAAUGAUAAAACUAUAGAGAUGAAAAAUGGAUUAAUGGUUGCCAAAGGUUAGGGAUGGUGGGAGGAAAAAUGGGGAGAGGGUUGGAUGGAACUAUUAAAAGGUAGCACCAGAAAGGUCUUUGUGGUGAUGGAACACUUGUGUAUCUUGAUUGCAGUGGUGGUUACACAAAUCUAUAGGUGCUAUACCUAUACACACAUACUGUACCAAUGUUGAUUUCCUUUUUCAUUUUAUGUAAGAUGUAACCAUGAGGGGAAAGUGGGUGAAGGGUGCUAUCUUUGCAACUUCCUGUGAUUCUAUCAUUUCAAAAUAAAAAGUAAAAACCAACAAUGGCAACGAAAACCCAAAACUAAAGAGCUGUAACCAACUAAAGUGUGUGAAACUGAUUUGAAAAAAAGUUAUAAAAUACAUGUUUUAGGACAGUUGGGAAAUUUGAAUAUGACUGGUUAUUAGAUGGUAUUAGGGAAUUUUUGUUGAUUUUCUUACCUGUGACGGUGGUGGUAGUUUGAAGAAUAUUCUUAAUCUUAAGGGAUGCAUGUUGAAGUAUUUGGAAUGAAGUGUUCUGAUGUUUACAACUUUCAAAAAAAUGAUUUUAAAUAUGUAUUGAGAGAUCAGGCAAACAUAGCAAAAUGUUCAUUGUUGAGUCCACAUGGAAAAUACGGGUAUUCAAUGUGCCAUACUUUCAACUCUUCUGUACUCUGAUAUUUUCAAAAUAAAACAUUUGAGGGGAAAUUA